CCUGCUCAAUGAGACUUUAAAUAGCCGCAGAUAUUCUGUGCUAAGGUAGCAUAAUCACUUGUUUUUUAAUUAAAAACUAGAAUGAAAGGUUUAACGUUUUAAUUACUUUAUUUUUAAUAAAAUUUCAACUUAUAUUAAAUAUAAAAAUAUAUUUAUUAAAAAAAUAGACGACAAGACCCUAUUGAACUUUACCUCCGUUUAGCUGGGGCAGCUUAAUAAUAAAAAUUUUAUAUAAAUCAAUAAACUAAAAAUUAUCCAAUAAAAUUGAUACAUUAAACAAGUUACCAUAGGGAUAACAGCAUAAUAUUAUUCUAAAGCUCUUAUUUAAAAUAAUGUUUGUGACCUCGAUGUUGAAUUAUUAUUACUUAUUUUAACGCAAUAGUUACAAAAGUAAGUCCGUUCGACUUUUAAUAUAAUACA
rnacentral:rRNA from 1 species